GUGGUCACUUUGGUAGCACGUAUUACCAAAAUUGGAAUGAUACAGAGAAGAUUAGCAUGCCACCUGCGCAGGAUGACAAUUUUUUCUUUUACUUUUUUCUUUUUUUU
rnacentral:snRNA from 1 species